AAUACACACUUACUGUGAUAGAUUCCAAACUUAGUACAAAUUCCCCUCUCCAGUUCAUCUUGAAAUUAAGAGUUUAGAAGAAAGUAAGAUUUCCGUUUGUGCUAUACCAAUCAGGAUACAUUUACUGUCGAAAACUAUAUAUAUAGAUGAUCAUGCGGCCAGAGCUAGCGCUCAGCAACAAUAGUCCAGUUCUCUUUUGUCCGCCACUUUCUCAAACUGAAGAUGAAUUGCUCGUUCCUAUCUCUAUGCCGUUACACAUGAGCAGACGACAUUUAGCACGGAAGGCUGAAAUUUCUAGGCAUCAAUCUUGUGAACAGAUGAGUUAUGAAGCAAAAGAUACAUACUGCAGAGUAAAACUACAUGAGAAAUGAUUAGUGGAAAACAAUAUAAUUUGUUUAUUGUAAGAACUGAAAACACCGGAGAACCAAUAUACUUCUUAUAGUAAUAAUUCAUAUCCAAAAAGUAAUCGAUUAUGGGAGCAUCUAACGCUGAUUUAAGCAGACAUUUCAUAAAAACAUGUCAAAGAAUUAUCAAUUAUAUCCAACUAAUUACUAAAACGGGAUUUACUGUCAGUAUACAUCUAUAUUCAGUUAGAAAUUAUGGAGAUCCAAGGAGAAUUAUCUAGGUUGUAUGACAUGAGUGCAUAAAUCUUACAAAGGCUAAUUAAUCAUCAGAUACCUUAACAUCUCAAAAAGCUUAAUCCUUAGAAUAUUUCCAUAUCUAGAAUGAAAAUAAUCACAUCAUGUAAUUACUAAAACAGGUACAAAAUACAGUCAAGUCGAUUUUUCAUUUUUACAGAAUAAUUGGUGAGCAUGACAUUGAGCUAUUGUAUCACUAAAAUGUAGCAGCCAAUGGGACCAGCAGAAACCUAUACAUCUAGAAGAAAAUAGUAUCCAAAAUUGUACCAUUGAAGGGAAAUGAUACUCAGACCAAGAUAAAGUCUGCUUCACGGCCACACUCACACAUUCAGUUACAAUCAGCUUAGUCGGCCUGUGAGAGGAGCCUGUGUGUACAUAUUGGACACUACCUGGAUACAUAUAGUUUGUUGUGAUGGAAGUCUCGGGCUCGUAAUGUGGAGAAGGGAACUGAUACUCAGACCAAGAUAAAGUCUGCUUCACGGCCACACACACACAUUCAGUUACAAUCAGCUUAGUCGGCCUGUGAGAGGAGCCUGUGUGUACAUAUUGGACACUACCUGGAUACAUAUAGUUUGUUGUGAUGGAAGUCUCGGGCUCGUAAUGUGGAUAUGGAUGACUCAAGCAGAGCGACAACAUGUGUACACAUAGAAAAUCAUAUAGUGGUUACUUAUCAAACUCAGUUAUUGUCUCAACUGGAAACAUGCAAGCGGAAUUCCGAGAAGAGAUAAUGUCGCAAUCAUCCAAAUGUGCGAUUAAAAAAGUGGUAUGAAAUUGAAGGAUUUCUAUUAACUUGCAAAAUCAGAAUAGUAUUGUCAAAGUGCAACAUUAUUUCAAUUUACUAAAAACUCAAAAAUGCUUGACCGUUAAGAACUUCUUUGGAAGUCAAGUUAAAAGUCCAGGUGGAUUAAUAUUCUUAGGAUAACUGGCCAAGUAUAUGUGCUAUAUUGAGUCUUCAAUUUAGGUUCUGUAUAUAUAGAUUCCUAGCCAAAAAUUACAGCCUAUACUAAUACUCAUCCAAAUGUGCGAUUAAAAAAGUGGUAUGAAACUGAAGGAUUUCUAUUAACUUGCAAAAUCAGAAUAGUAUUGUCAAAGUGCAACAUUAUUUCAAUUUACUAAAAACUCAAAAAUGCUUGAUCGUUAAGAACUUCUUUGGAAGUCAAGUUAAAAGUCCAGGUGGAUUAAUAUUCUUAGGAUAACUGGCCAAGUAUAUGUGCUAUAUUGAGUUUUCAGUUUAGGUUCUGUAUAUAUAGAUUCCUAGCCAAAAAUUACAGCCUAUACUAAUACUGUAAUACAUGACUGGAUAUCAAGAUCACCAGGAUAAAUAGUUUCCUUAUAGAAUCACGUAUGGUUGUGCAGCUAAUUAAACAUCUAGAUAAAUAUAAAGGAUAUACCUUCUUUUCAUCUGACAAUCUCCCGUAAUCAACCACACUUGUAAUAUCUUGGAAGGAGUUUGUGCCUGUAAUUGGGAGGGUCUUGUGAAAUGUUUAAUCUAGUUAUCCUUGCCUUCCUCUGUAGAUAACCAGGUGCAGUACUGAUCAAACAAAAAAAAUAUUCACAAGAAAUGAAAAGAGGGUUCAACAUUGCAAACAAAAAAUAGACCUGACAGAAAAUCAAAAGCUUAUAGACACAAACACAAAUAGUUGGUACCCAGAUCUUCAGAUCGGAAAUGACUUAGAUUUAUUUUUUCCUUAGAUUGCAAGGAUCAGAUCAUUAGAUUAGUUAGUACUGCUCACAAAAGGGUCCAAGUGCAAGUACUCACACGCCAAUGGAAGGCAGACCACGUGCACGAUGACACACGACCUGCUCUAUUUUCUUCAUGCUUUUUGCUUCAUUCCCAUACAAUGCCUGAAACCAGCAAGCACCAGGAUGGGGAUUAGAACUCUGAAUUUACACGCAGAUUAAGGAGAAACACACACACAAAGCUUCGAUACAAAGUUCAGUUAGGGUCCUCUCCGAGGAAAAGGUAUCCCCUCCUCACCAUCCUCCUUCUAGAAAGUGCAUAAACUGGGACUUAUAAUUAAGAAAUUGCCACACCAGUAAGCACGCACACAUCACACACGCUGCAAGUAAGGCAGAACUGCGAGAGCAGAGACGAUAUGUCACGGUGGUGACCUGCACACCUCAUGUGGAGUAUGGAGAGGAGGGAGAGGCCUACCUGGCUGGUGUCGCUCUUCCAGGGCACGGACCGGCGAAAGAAGACGGCAGCGCAAAAUCCUUCCUGGGGUCUGUCUUCUCCACCAUUGGCCGAGGCCUAAUUUUUCCUAGCAAAAGAUAUCGCAUCAUGAGCAAAAGAACGAACUCGCAACUAACAUUUCAAAUCGAGAUUUAUCAAUUAGCAAUCCCAAAAUAUAUAAAUAAAGGGGCUUCUAAUUAACCACCUGAGUAUUUCGAGCUGUGCCGGAAUCCAACAACCAUACAUUAACAGAGAAGCAUAAACAUGUUAAUAAACAAUUAAUGCAUGAAGCAACAUGAAAGUACAGAAAAGGCAAUCAACUCUUAAGGUCCGCACACAAAAUUUUAACAGAUAUUUUGGCAUUGUAUUCUUCCUAGUAUGCUUAGUGUAUACAAGAAAAUGAUCGUACUUCAGUUAUACAUUACACAAAGGCAGACCCAGAAGAACACUUGGCUGACCUAGCUUCAGCAAUGUAUUUCAGAGCAAUUUAGCAUUGUAUUCUUCCUAGAGCUUCAGAUCAGGAAGAAGGAAGAACAGACGGUGCCCAAGGAAGUGACCAUCUCUGACUUCCCCGUCUUCCUCAGCAUUGACCCAUGAUCAUAAGAGAAUUAUAGCCUUACUGAAUUAACUUAUAUUUCCCUGGAAAUCUACCAAGAAAUUAAUUCGGGAAACAUUGAAUGGCCAUGCUGCAUUUUCGCAAGUAAUCCUACAUACCAACAAGAAAUGCUUGCUCACAUCCGGCCCACAGGCAAGCACAAAAUAUAAGGCACAUGAGACCGAACAACACAUGAACAUGCUAGCACAUACAGGAAGCAUGACAGGAAGUUAGACACAGGCGAGAGCAACAAACCUUGACAAGCAAAACGGAGACGAAGCAACGAAUAGAAUGGAGAUGCAAUAAUGGGCCAGAUCAUACAACCUGUGAAAUAUAGAAUUGAAUCCGUCAGUACACAACCACGGGAGGCAAUGUCUCAAUGUUCAGAGAAGCAAAAGAAAGAACGAUUUACCAGGGAAGGAGAAACACUCGAGCCAAACAGCAGUACGAGCGAGGAAAAUAGCUACUCCUAGAAGCGAAGGGGAGGAGGGGCACGAUGGUGGUCAAGAGUAGGAGAGGAGGAGAGAUGCGAAUGGCCGGCCCCAGACCGUGUUCAUCUCCCAUCUGCCGUUGCGGCUCCCUCUCCUCUUUCCUCUGCCUUUCUCCCUCCUCUCCUUCUCUCUUUCCCUCAUCUGCUCUCUCUCUCCAGCAAGUAAAGUACAGGCUCAUGGCGCUGGAUCGAAUCGAGCACCCCAGCCGUCACCCUUUGCCCACAGGUCGCCGCCGCUGCCGGAGACGCUCACCGCCGCGCCGCAUGCCCCCUCUCAUUUGCCGCCAUGUCCUUCUCUCUCCCUCUCAUCUGCUCGAGGGCCGCCGCCAUCGCCCUUUACCUGUAGGUUGGUUCCCCUCCAGAGUUAACUGGCUGGAUCCAGAGGCAGGGAAGGAGGAGAGGAUGGGGAGGAGGAGGUGCUGAAGGCGGAGGGGGCGAGGCGGCCGUGAGGGACGGGGAAAAGGAGGAGGCGGCGGCGGCAUGGAGAAGAGGAGCCGAAUGAGGAGCGAGGAUUGAGAGCCCGCUGAGGCCGCCGUCGGCCGCACGACCGCAAGAGCCGCCGUCCGCCGCACCACGAGGAAGAGGUGGAGUGCAGCCUCCGGUGUGGCGGUGGCAGGGAUCCAGGAAGGAGGAGGGAGGAGGAAGAGAGGAAUGGGGUGUGGCGGCUGUGAGAGGGAGGAGGGAGGAGUGCGUGACUGUGGAUGGGGAGCUAGGGUUGGUGCGGUCGUGCCCAAUGGGCUCCUCGCUCCAGCCCCAGGCAAGCCACGGGACGCGCGACGCGGGGCGCGCGAGGAAAGGCUCCCCGGCCGAAAAUGACCCAGCCGUUUCCAUCCAAGUGGCCACAGCGCCGGCCCACACGUCAUCCCUCGCCACGAUAGACCGAUCGGUAAAAACGAGCACGCUGAAUUCCAGCAACGAUCGAACGGCCAGCGCUCGAAAAAAGACCCGGUCAACCCCCAUCGAACGGCCAACGAAGGAUGCCAUCGGGGAGCCUUGUGAGAGCGAGUUGGCUAGCCUCUUUUAUGUUUUAGAUUGGGCCACAUGCACAGAGUCAGUUUUGUCUCCAUACAGUACUCCCUCGCGAGUUUAUUGGCAACAGGCUAGCCCAUUUUGCGAGGCCAUUGCUACCUCUUGAACUUGCGUUGGUUUCCCUUGAAGAGGAAAGGGUGAUGCAACAAUAGUAGCAUAAGUAUUUCCCUCAGUUUUUGAGAACCAAGGUAUCAAUCCAGUAGGAGGCUCCUCAAAAGUCCACGCACCUACACAAACAAACAAAGAACUCGCAAACCAACGCAAUAAAAGGGGUUGUCAAUCCCUUCACGGCCACUUGCGAAAGUGAGAUCUAAUAGAGAUAGUAUGAUAAGAUAAAUAUAUUUUUGGUAUUUUAUAAUAUAGAUGCAAAAAGUAAAGAUGCAAAUAAAAGUAGAUUGGAAGCAAAUAUGAUAAGAGAUAGACCCAAGGGCCAUAGGUUUCACUAGAGGCUUCUCUCAAGAUAGAAUAAGUAUUACGGUGGGUGAACAAAUUAUUGUCGAUCAAUUGAUAGAAAAGCGAAUAAUUAUGAGAUUAUCUAGGCAUGAUCAUGUAUAUAUGCAUCACGUGCAUGACAAGUAGACCAACUCCUGCCUGCAUCUACUACUAUUACUCCACACAUCGACCAACUCCUGCCUGCAUCUAGAGUAUUAAGUUCAUAAGAACAGAGUAACGCCCUAAGCAAGAUGACAUGAAGUAGAGGGAUAAAAUCAUGCAAUAUGAUAUAAACCCCAUCUUUUUAUCCUCGAUGGCAACAAUACAAUACGUGUCUUGCAACCCUUUCUGUCACUGGGUAAGGACACCGCAAGAUUGAACCCAAAGCUAAGCACUUCUCCCAUGGCAAGAAAGAUCAAUCUAGUAGGCCAAACCAAACUGAUAAUUCGAAGAGACUUGCAAAGAUAACUCAAUCAUACAUAAAAGAAUUCAGAGGAUAGUUCAAAUAUUUCUCAUAGAUAAACUUGAUCAUAAACUCACAAUUCAUCAGAUCUCGACAAACACACCGCAAAAAGAGUUUACAUCGAAUAGAUCUCCACAAGAGAGGGGGAGACAUUGUAUUGAGAUCCAAAAAGAGAGAAGAAGCCAUCUAGCUAAUAACUAUGGACCCAAAGGUCUGUGGUAAACUACUCACAACUCAUCGGAGGGGCUAUGGUGUUGAUGUAGAAGCCCUCCAUGGUCGAUUCCCCCUCCGGCAGAGCGCCGGCGAAGGCUCCAAGAUGGGAUCUCACGGAUACAGAAGGUUACGGCGGUGAAAAUUGUGUUUCGUUGGCUCCCUGGAUGUUUUCGGGGUACGUAGGCUUAUAUAGGAGGAAGAAGUACGUCGGUGGCCGCCCGAGGGGCCCACGAGACAGGGGGUGCGCCUUGUAGGGGGGGUGCCCUACCCUCUCGUGGCCGCCUCGGUUGCUUCUUGACUUGCACUCCAAGUCCUCUGGAUCACGUUCGUUCCAAAAAUCACGCUCCCGAAGGUUUCAUUCCAUUUGGACUCCGUUUGAUAUUCCUUUUCUUCGAAAUACUUAGGCAAAAAAACAGCAAUACGGGCUGGGCCUCCGGUUAGUAGGUUAGUCCCAAGAAUGAUAUAAAUGUGUAAAAUAAAGCCCAUAAACAUCCAAAAGGGGUAAUAUUAUAGCAUGGAACAAUCAAAAAAUAUAGACAUGUUGGAGACGUAUCAAGCAUCCACAAGCUUAAUUCCUGGUCGUCCUCGAGUAGGUAAAUGAUAAAAACAGAAUUUUUGAUGUGGAAUGCUACCUAGCAUAAUUCACAAUGUAAUUUUAUUUAUUGUGGCAUGAAUGUUCAGAUACAAAUGAUUCAAGAUAAAAGUUCAUAUUGACAUGAAAAUGGUGAUACUUCAAGCAUACUAAUCAAAGUAAUCAUGUCUUCUCAAAAUAACAUGGCCAAAAAAAGUUAUCCCUACAAAAUCAUAUAGUCUGGCCGUUGCUCUAUCUUCAUCACACAAAGUAUUUAAUCAUGCACAACCCCGAUGACAAGCCAAGCAAUUGUUUCAUACUUUAGUAAUCUGAAACUUUUUCAACUUUCACACAAUACAUGAGCGUGAGCCAUGGACAUAUCAUUAUAUGUGGAAUAGAAUGGUGGUUGUGGAGAAGACAAAAAGGGAGAAGAUAGUCUCACAUCAACUAGGCGUAUCAAUGGGCUAUGGAGAUGCCCAUUAAUAGAUAUCAAUGUGAGUGAGUAGGGAUUGUCAUGCAACGGAUGCACUAGAGCUAUAAAUAUAUGAAAGCUCAACAAAAGAAACUAAGUGGGUGUGCAUCCAACUCGCUUGUUCACGAAGACCUAGGGCAUUUUGAGGAAGCCCAUCAUUGGAAUAUACAAGCCAAGUUCUAUAAUGAAAAAUUCCCACUAGUAUAUGUAAGUGACAACAUAGGAGACUCUCUAUCAUGAAGAUCAUGGUGCUACUUUGAAGCACAAGUGUGGAAAAAGAGAUAGUAGCAUUGUCCCUUCUCUCUUUUUCUCUCAUUUUAUUUCAUUAUUUCUUUUUUUCUCUUUUUUUUUCUUUCUUUGGCCUUUCUUUUUUUUUGGCCUUUUUUUUCUUUUUCUUUUCUUUUUGUAAAGUCCGAAGUCUCGUCCCGACUUGUGGGGGAAUCAUAGUCUUCAUCAUUCUUUCCUCACUAGGACAAUGCUCUAAUAAUGAAGAUCAUCACACUUUUAUGGAUUUACAACUCAAGAAUAACAACUCAAAGCGAGAACAAGAUAUGCCUCUAUAUGAAUGCCUCCGGCGGUGUACCGGGAUAUGAAAUGAAUCAAGAGCAACAUGUAUGAAAAUUAUGAAGGUGGCCUUGCCACAAAUACAAUGUCAACUACAUGAUCAUGCAAAGAGCAAUAUGACAAAACUAAUGCGUGUCAUAUGAAAGGAACGGUGGAAAGUUGCAUGGCAAUAUAUCUCGGAAUGGCUAUGGAAAUGCCAUAAUAGGUAGGUAUGGUGACUGUUUUGAGGAAGGUAUAUGGUGGGUGUAUGGUACCGACGAAAGUUGCGUGGCACAAGAGAGGCUAGCAAUGAUGGAAGGGUGAGGGUUUGUAUAAUCCAUGGACUCAACAUUAGUCAAAAGAACUCAUAUACUUAUUGCAAAAAUUAAGAAGUCAUCAAAAACAAAGUACUAUGCGCAUGCUCUUAGGGGGAUAGAUUGGUAGGAAAAGACCAUCGCUCGUCCCCGACCGCCACUCAUAAGGAAGACAAUAAAUAAAUAAAAUUGUGCUCCAACUUCAUCACAAAGCGGUUCACCAUACGCGCAUGCUACGGGAAUCACAACCCUCAACACAAGUAUUUUUAAUGACCUCAACUAGCAUGACUUUAAUAUCACUACCUCAAUAUCUCAAAACAAUUAUCAAGCAUCAAAUUGAUCUAGCAUCGAGUUCACUUUCUAUGAUAGUUUUUAUUAUACCCAACUUGGAUGCUCAUCAUUCUAGGACCAACUUUGUAACCAUCGCAAAUACCAUGUUGUUCUAAAAGACUCUCAAAAUGAUAUAAGUGAAGCAUGAGAGACUAGCAAUUUCUUCAAAAUUAAGGCACCACUGUGCUCUAAAGGAUAUAAGUGAAGCAUUAGAGCAAAAACUAUCAAGCUCAAAAGAUAUAAGUGAAGCACAUAGAGUAUUCUAGCAAAUUCUAAUCAAGUAGGCUUCUCCCAAAAGGUGUGUACAGCAAGGAUUAUUGUGUUAAACUAAAAAGCAAAGACUAAUAUAAUACACGACGCUCCAGGCAAAACACAUAUCAUGUGGCGAAUAAAAAUAUAGCUCCAAGUAAAGUUACCAAUGAACGAAGACGAAAGAGGGGAUGCCUUCCCGGGGCAUCCCCAAGCUUAGGCUUUUGGCUAUCCUUGAAUAUCUUGGGGUGCUAUGGGCAUCCCCAAGCUUAGGCUCUUUCCACUCCUUAUUCCAUAGUCCAUAAAAGCUUUACCCAAAACUUGAAAACUUCACAACACAAAACUCAACAGGAAAUCUUAUAAGCUCUAUUAGUGAAAGAAAACAAAACCACCACAUAAGGUACUGUAAUGAACUCAUUCUUUAUUUAUUUUGGUGUUAAACCUACUGUAUUACAACUUCUCUAUGGUUUAUAAACUAUUUUACUAGCCAUAGAUGCAUCAAAAUAAGCAAACAACACACGAAAAACAGAAUCUGUCAAAAACAGGACAGUCUGUAGCAAUCUGUAACUAAUGCAAACUUCUGAAACUCUAAAAAUCCUACCAAAAUAAGAAGUCCUGGAAAAUUUGUCUGUUGAUCAGCAUCAAAAAGAAUCAACGCAAAAGCACAUUUCUGUGAUUUAACAAAACUAAAUUCGUUCGUGAAAAGUUUCUGUUUUUCAGCAAAAUCAAAUCAACUAUCAUCAUAGGUUAUCAUAUAGGUUCUACUUGGCACAAACACUAAUUAAAAGAUAAAAACACAUCUAAACAGAAGGUAGAUGCAAGAUUUAGUACUAAACAGGAACAAAAACAAAAAACACAAAGAAAAUUGGGUUGCCUCCCAACUAGCGCUAUCAUUUAACGCCCCUAGCUAGGCAUAAAAGCGAAGAUAGAUCUAAGUAGUGCCAUAUUUGGCACUAAAUUCAUAAGUAGCUCGCAUGAUAGAUUCAUAAGGUAAUUUGACUUUCUUUCUUGGAAAGUUCUCCAUGCCUUUUGUAAUGGAAAUUGGAAUCUAAUAUUCCCUUCCUUCAUAUCAAUAAUCGCACCAAUUGUUCUAAGGAAAGGUCUACCAAGAAUAAUAGGGCAAGAAAGAUUGCAAUCUAUAUCAAGAACGAUAAAAUCUACGGGCACCAAAUUUAUAUUUGAAACAAUGAGAACAUCAUUGAUCCUUCUCAUUGGCUUUUUAAUGGUGGAAUCCGCAAGGUGCAAAUUUAAAGAGCAAUCAUCAAGAUCAUGGAAACCUAGAAUAUCACAUAAAGUUUUUGAAAUCGUGGAAACACUAGCACCCAAAUCACACAAAGCAAAACACUCAUGAUCUUCAAUUCUAAUCUUUAUAGUAGGUUCCCACUCAUCAUUAAGUUUUCUAGGUAUAGAAACUUCCAAAUUAAGUUUUUCAUCAUAAGAUUGCGUCAAGGCAUCAACGAUAUGUUUGGUAAAAGCUUUAUUUUGACUAUAAGCAUGAGGAAAAUUAACAACGGAUUGCAACAAGGAAAUACAACCUUCUAAAGAACAAUUAUCAUAAUCAAAUUCCUUGAAAUCCGAGAUAGUGGGUUCAAUACUAUUUAAAGUCAUGACCUAUCCAAUCCCACUUUUACCAAUUUUAGCAUCAAGAUCUAAAAACUCCAAAUUCUUGGGACGCCUUCUAGGUAAAGUUGACUCAUCUUCAGUCCCAUAAUUAUCAAGAUUCAUAUUGCAAAACAAAGAUCUAAUAGGAGACGCAUCAAUAACUUUAAGAUCCUCAUCAUUAUCUUCAUGGAAACUAGAAGAACAUGCAUUUAUAAAGCUAUCUUUCUUAGCACGCAAUCUAGCGGUUUUUUCCUUGCACUCGUCAAUGGAAACUCUCAUUGCUUUGAGAGACUCAUUGAUAUCAUGCUUAGGAGGAGAAGAUCUAUGUUUAAGAGAAUCAACAUCAAGCGAAAGUCUAUCAAUGUCCUAGCCAAAUCAUCAACUUUGAGCAAUUUUUCUUCAAGCAAGGCAUUAAAAUUCUUUUGAGAAAUCAUAAAUUCUUUCACGCUAUUCUCAAAAUCAGAGGGCAUCUUAUUAAAAUUACCAUAAGAAUUAUUGUAGGAAUUUCCAUAAUUAUUAGAGGAAUUACUAGGGAACGGUCUAGAAUUGAAGUUUCCUCUAUAAGCAUUGUUACCGAAACUAUUCCUACCAACAAAAUUCACAUCCAUAGAUUCAUUAUUAUUCUCAAUCAAAGUAGACAAAGGCAUAUCAUUGGGAUCAAGAGGAAUAUUUUUAGUAGCGAACAACUUCAUAAGUUCAUCCAUCUUUUCACUCAAAACAUUGAUUUCUUCUAUAGCAUGCACUUUUUUACUAGAAGAUCUUUCGGUGUGCCAUUGAGAAUAAUUAGCCAUAAUAUUAUCAAGAAGUUUUGUAGCAUCUCCUAACGUGAUUUCCAUAAACGUGCCUCCCGCGGCCGAAUCUAAAAGAUUUCUAGAAGCAAAGUUCAAAACGGCAUAAAAAUUUUGUAUGAUCAUCCAUAAAUUCAAACCAUGAGUAGGGCAAUUGCGAAGCAUCAAUUUCAUUAUUUCCCAAGGUUGGGCGACAUGCUCAUGAUCAAGUUGUUUCAAAUUCAUAAUAUCGUUCCUAAGAGUGAUGAUCUUAGCGGGAGGAAAAUACUUAGAGAUAAAAGCAUCUUUGCACUUGUUCCAAGAAUCAAUACUAUUUUUAGGCAAAGACGAAAACCCAACUUUAGCACAAUCUCUAAGUGAAAACGGAAAGAACUUCAAUUUAACAAUAUCGUUAUCCGUAUCUUUCUUCUUUUGCAUAUCACACAAAUCAACAAAGUUGUUUGAGAUGAGUAGCGACAUCUUCACCGGGAAGGCCGGCGAAUUGAUCUUUCAUAACAAGAUUCAGCAAAGCAGUAUUGAUUUCACAAGACUCAACAUCAUUAAGAGGAGCAAUCGGAGUACUAAGGAAAUCAUUAUUAUUGGUAUUGGAGAAAUCACACAGUUUCGUAUUAUCUUGCGGCAUGGCAACAAGUAAUCCAACACAUAAGCAAACAGAAAAAGGCAAGCGAAAGAGAGGAGGAGAUUGGGAAAGAGAGGGCGAAUAAAACAGCAAGGGUGAAGUGGGGGAGAGGAAAACGAGAGGCAAAUGGCAAAUAAUGUAAAUGCGAGGGAGAUGAGUUUGUGAUGGGUACUUGGUAUGUCUUGACUUGAGCGAAGACCUCCCCGGCAACGGCGCCAGAAAUUGUACGUUGGUGGGAGGUCGAAUCCUGACUUGACUUGGUGGAAGCCUCCCCGGCAACGGCGCCAGAAAUCGCACAUUGGCGGGAGGUCGAAUCUUGACUUGACUUGGUGGAAGCCUCCAUGGCAACGGCGCCAGAAAUCCUUCUUGCUACGUCUUGAGCUUGCGUUGGUUUUCCUUGAAGAGGAAAGGGUGAUGCAGCAAUAGUAGUGUAAGUAUUUCCCUCAGUUUUUGAGAACCAAGGUAUCAAUCCAGUAGGAGGCUCCUCAAAAGUCCCAUGCACCUACACAAACAAACAAAGAACUCGCAACCAACGCAAUAAAAGGGGUUGUCAAUCCCUUCACGGCCACUUGCGAAAGUGAGAUCUAAUAGAGAUAGUAUGAUAAGAUAAAUAUAUUUUUGGUAUUUUAUAAUAUAGAUGCAAAAAGUAAAGAUGCAAAUAAAAGUAGAUUGGAAGCAAAUAUGAUAAGAGAUAGACCCAAGGGCCAUAGGUUUCACUAGAGGCUUCUCUCAAGAUAGAAUAAGUAUUACGGUGGGUGAACAAUUUACUGUCGAGCAAUUGAUAGAAAAGCGAAUAAUUAUGAGAUUAUCUAGGCAUGAUCAUGUAUAUAGGCAUCACGUCCAUGACAAGUAGACCAACUCCUGCCUGCAUCUACUACUAUUACUCCACACAUCGACCAACUCCUGCCUGCAUCUAGAGUAUUAAGUUCAUAAGAACAGAGUAACACCCUAAGCAAGAUGACAUGAAGUAGAGGGAUAAAAUCAUGCAAUAUGAUAUAAACCCCAUCUUUUUAUCCUCGAUGGCAACAAUACAAUACGUGCCUUGCAACCCUUUCUGUCACUGGGUAAGGACACCGCAAGAUUGAACCCAAAGCUAAGCACUUCUCCUAUGGCAAGAAAGAUCAAUCUAGUAGGCCAAACCAAACUGAUAAUUCGAAAAGACUUGCAAAGAUAACUCAAUCAUACAUAAAAGAAUUCAGAGGAGAUUCAAAUAUUUCUCAUAGAUAAACUUGAUCAUAAACUCACAAUUCAUCGGAUCUCGACAAACACACCGGAAAAAGAGUUUACAUCGAAUAGAUCUCCACAAGAGAGGGGGAGAACAUUGUAUUGAGAUCCAAAAAGAGAGAAGAAGCCAUCUAGCUAAUAACUAUGGACCCGAAGGUCUAUGGUAAACUACUCACAACUCAUCGGAGGGGCUAUGGUGUUGAUGUAGUAGCCCUCCAUGGUCGAUUCCCCCUCCGGCAGAGCGCCGGCUAAGGCUCCAAGAUGGGAUCUCGCGGAUACAGAAGGUUACGGCGGUGGAAAUUGUGUUUCGUUGGCUCCCUGGAUGUUUUCGGGGUACGUAGGCUUAUAUAGGAGGAAGAAGUACGGCGGUGGCCGCCCGAGGGGCCCACGAGACCGGGAGGCGCGCCCUGUAGGGGGGGCUACCCUCUCGUGGCCGCCUCGGCUGCUUCUUGACUUGCACUCCAAGUCCUCUGGAUCACGUUCGUUCCAAAAAUCAUGCUCCCAAAGGUUUCAUUCCGUUUGGACUCCGUUUGAUAUUCCUUUUCUUCGAAAUACUGAAAUAGGCAAAAAAACAGCAAUACGGGCUGGGGCUCUGGUUAGUAGGUUAGUCCCAAAAAUGAUAUAAAUGUGUAAAAUAAAGCCCAUAAACAUCCAAAAGGGGUAAUAUAAUAGCAUGGAACAAUCAAAAAUUAUAGAUACGUUUGAGACGUAUCAGCCAUGUGGACGUCCAUCACUUUGACCAACAACGAGCGAGAGAGGUUAUACGAUCAAGUUGGAUUCUGUUUGGUCCGUGUUAUAGUACUUUUUGGUGUGCUGCCCUCCCCCCGGCACGUGUGUGUGUGGGGGGGGGAAGCUACUUUGCAUUACCGCAACCUCUGUGGGGUCGGGGAAGUCUAGUUAUUUUGCGAGGCACACGUGCCACAUCAGAGUUGUGAAAGGUAGUUAAAUAUCACACCACACCCUUUUCAUACAUAUAGUAUAGGGCCACCCGCAAGUGGUUCGUAUGUGAUCUCACCCAUCCCCCGCCACAAACACACAUUUGUGGGUCGGCACACGGUCCACCUUUGUCGGGAAGCGAAAGGGGAAGUUUGACCAUAUAUAUGAUGGACUCCUAUAGGUCUUGUGUUACGGUAGGGUGAGAUUUCAAACCUAACUAUCUAGGGGCAUGCAUUCGUAGCUAGUAUUCCCUUACCACCGACACGAAGUGGGGUUCGUAGGGGGUGGCUGACGCUACUUCUUGAGCUUGCAUUGGUUUUUCCCAUGAAGAGGAAUGGUGAUGCAGCAAAGUAGAGAUAAGUAUUUCCCUCGGUUUGAGAACCAAGGUAUCAAUCCAGUAGGAGGUACAAGCAAGUCUCCAAUCUAUGCACCUGCACAAACAAUCAAACAUUUGCACCCAACGUGAUAAAGGGGUUGUCAAUCCCUUCACGGUCACUUGCAAGGAUGAGAUCUAAUAGAGAUGGAUAUAAAAGAUUACUAAAACGUCAAACAACGUAAAAAACAAAUAAAACUCAGGGAGGUAUUUUUGGGUUUUUGGUUUUAUAGAUAUGAAAAUAUAUGAUGGAAAAUAGACCCGGGGGCCAUAGGUUUUACUAGAGGCUUCUCUCUUGAAGAAAGCAUAUGGUGGCUAAACAAAUUACUGUUGAGCAAUUGAUAGAAAAGAAAAUAAUUAUGAUGAUAUCUAAGGCAAUGAUCAUGAAUAUAGGCAUCUUGUCUGUGACAAGUAGACCGACUCCUGCCUGCAUCUACUACUAUUACUCCACACAUCGACCGCUAUCCAGCAUGCAUCUAGAGUAUUAAGUUCAUAAGAAUGGAGUAACGCUUUAAGCAAGAUGACAUGAUUUAGAGGGGUCAACUCAAGCAAUAUGAUAUAAACCCUAUCUUUUUAUCCUCGAUGGAAAAAUACAAUACGUGCCUCGCUACCCCUUCUGUCACUGGGUGAGGACACCGCAAGAUUGCACGCAAAACUAAGCACCUCUCCCAUUGCAAGAAAAACCAAUCUAGUUGGCCAAACCAAAUCGAUAGUUCAAAGAGAAAUACAAAGAUAUAAAUUCAUGCAUAUAAGAAUUUAGAGGAGACUCAAAUAAUAUUCAUAUAUAAUCUGAUCAUAAACUCACAAUUCAUCGUAUCUCAACAAAUACACCGCAAAAAGUAUUACAUCGAAUAGAUCUCCAAUAAUGUCGAGGAGAACUUUGUAUUGAAGAAGCUAUCUAGCUACUUGCUAUGGACCCGUAGGUCUGUGGUAAACUACUCACAUAUCAUCGGUAGGGCAAUAGGGUUGAUGUAGAAGCCCUCCAUGAUCAAAUCCCCCUUCGGCAGAUCACCGGAAAAGUUCUCAAGGUGGGAUCUCAUGAGGUCAGGGGCUUGCGGCGGUGGAGAAGCAUUUUGGUGGACUCCUCUAGUGGUUUGGGAAUAUUUGUGAAUUUAUGGAGCAAGAAUUAGGGUUAGGAGACCUCCGAGGGGCCCACAAGCCCUCAGGGCCGCCCCCUUGGGCGCGCCCCCUAGCUUGUGGCUUCCUCGGGAAGCUCCUGGACCCCUCUCCAAGUCCUACAGGUACCUUCUAGUCCAAGAAAAAUCAUUGCGAAAGUUUUAUUCCAUUUGGACUCCGUUUGAUAUUCCUUUCUGAAAAAGCCAAAAACAGGGAAAAAACAGCAACUGGCACUGGGCACUAGGUUAAUAGGUUAGUCCCAAAAAAUGAUAUCAAAUAGUAUAUUAAUACAUAUAAAACAUCCAAAAUAGAUAAUAUAAUAGCAUGGAACAAUAAAAAAUUAUAGAUAUGUUGGAGACAUAUCAGCUGACUAGCAAUACUGUGCGCUUUGAGCGACCAGUGCCACGUCAAAAUUAUGCAUUGGGUACUCGAACAUCAAACCACCCUUUUCAUAAAUAUAUUUGGUCCACAUGCAAGUGUGUUCAUAUUCUGACCCUUUCCCGCAUUAUUCCUUUUGCCAAAUUUAUAAACAACACACGAGUUGGAUGCAGAAACCGUUUGCGAUUGGGUACACAACAGACAUGGUUCGAUCAGACUACCUGUGUGCCACACCUGUGCCCAUGCAGUCACUCACAUCUGCACAGUAGAUUGGGCUCCACGAGGCUUGCCUCCCGCUCUCGAAAAUAUCUACUGCCUCGUAAUCUCAAAAAUAUCUACCGCCUAGAAGGUUUUUAUGUUUGAUAGCUCAAGGCAAGCCUACCACUCAUGAUUAGUAUGUGCGGACCGUGUGCGAUGUCUGUUACUCCUGCUCUGCUACAAUCCUUUGAUUCAAAUUUUCUGUAGCCCCGGUAUUUUACUCCCUCCUCUACAACCCUCACAAUCUCAAAAAUUCUGCUCGCCCUUGAUUCAAAUUUUCAGUAACCCCGCCUUGUUACUCCUCCCUCUGCAUCCCUAGCAAUCUCAAAAAUAUCUGCUCUCCCUUGAUCCAAAUUUUUAGCAGCCCUGGCAUUUUACUCCCGCCUUUGCAUCCUCGCAAUCUCAAUAAUAUCUACUCGCCCUUGAUCCAAAUUUUUAGUAGCUCGACAUUUUACUCCCACCUAGUAAAAUUUUCAGUUGUCGCGGUAUUUCCUCGAACACCACCUUGCCCCCCUCCACACACACCACAUACUCCACAAAACCUCUGCUCACACAGGCAGACACCACCCCUCCUUCACUCGAAACCAUUGGUAGGUCGCCGCCAUCGCUGCCGCCACCGCCUCCAUCCUCAACCUCUGCCAACGUGCCGGGGAGCUCGAGAAGCCAAUGGCCCAAAAGAGGUUUAUCGUGGCGUCUUCGCCCUACGCCGGUGAGGUGGCCGCCGAGGUGUUCCCGUCGUCCUCUGCGGGCUCUUUAUCAAUCCACCAUCGCCGGUCGCCCGAUCCGCCCGCCGCCGCGCCCCUACGCCGGUUCAAGGACUUCCCCGUCCUCCCUCGGGCCCGACCGCUGACAAGGUCCUACCUCGGGGUCCAACAGCGGCGGUGGGGGACGUGCGUCACCGAGAUUACAAAUCAAGAGACCCACACCCGAUGGUGGCUCGGUAGCUUCCACACGGCCGAGCACGCGGCCAUGGAGUACAACCGCUGGCAGGUCCGCUACCAUGGCACAGUGGCUAGACCCAAUUUCCCCUUCGGCACACAUCCGGUCGACCUUGUUCCACUGGAGCCAGGGUGGUGAGCUCGGCUAUGGCGCGAGAGGUCCGCGAGGCAUGGGAGCGCCUCGAGGCCGACGCCCCCGACGAGGCCUACAUGCAAGAGCUCCGCCAACAGCACCCGGAGCUCAUGGAGGCAGAGCGAGUGAUCUUUGCCGGCGCAGAGGGCGGUAAGUUAUCGUGCUCUUCUCCGAUGAUGAGGUCGAAGGCGGCGAGGACAUCAAUGCGGAGGGUGUCGAGGUGGGUGGCGAGGGUGAGGAGAUCGACAUCGACGAGUGGAGAAGUGUCUUCCCCAACGACCCUGACGACAGCACCGGCCCGGACCCGGCUCACGGCACACCGUACCUGAUGGGGAAGGACUGACUCGAUCUCCACUUCGACCAAAAGUAGUUUAGUUUAGUUUAAAUUUAUGUUUUAUGUUCGGUUAUGCAAAACUAUUUAUGUUUAUGUUUGAAUGCAUGCUACUUUCGGUUGAACCUGCUUUGAACUUGAUCAAUUGAAGUUUACAACAUUAAGUUUAGGGGAUUGACUAGAAACGGCCAAAAAUUGCUCAUACACACACACACACACACACACACACACACACACACACACACAUAUAUAUAUAUAUAUAUAUAUAUAUAUAUCCAGUAAGGGUAUUUGUCCGUUUAAAGGAUCGGCUAGAGAUGGCCUUAUGCCUUGUUUAUUUCAGUUCUUCACAAUGUGAUGCUCUAUAUGUGCACCUAUUUGCCGUGUAGUUCACUUUCACAAAUAACAAUUUCAACAAUACCACUAUAAAUUAUGAUAUUUGGUUGUUGUUAAGGAUGUUGCAGUUAACAUGCCUUUUCGUUUUUUAACAAUAACUAGUGUACUUUAGACCUGCACAAUACCAGUUUGAAUGAAUAUAUUUGCUUGUUUUUAAAUGCUAUGUCUGUUGCAGUUAACGCACCUUUCCCCUUCUUGUUUUGCUUAGCAUGCUUAAACCUGCACACUGAAGCUAUCAUUUGUAGAUUAUGUUGUCUACCAUGGAUAUAUUUGGUUGAUGUUUAGCCAGUUGUGCUUAACAUGCCUUUAUAUGUACUCAUACAUGAAAAUAUUGAGAAUAAUUGUUGUUUUCCAUCAAGGUUAGUUUCAUCGCAUUGCUUAUAUGUACUCACUGUUCAGGAUAUCAGUAGUUGGUACCAUAUAACAUGGGGUUUGAUGAGGGAUUAAUCGUCGAAUUGGACAUUUCACUGAAUAUAUCAGUAACCCAUUUAUCGGUAGGUUAACUAGGGCCAUAUUUAAUACUCCCUCCAUUCCAAAAUAGAUAACCCAACUUUAUACUAACCUUGUACUAAAGUUUGUACAAAGUUGAGUCAUCUAUUUUGGAACGGAGGGAGUAUAUCUGAGGCUACAUAGCAACAUGCAUUGUACUGAAUGACUAAAUGCAAUCCCAGGCUACAUAGCAACAAGAAAGAGUGUUACAUUAAUGUUCUGAUGAUGUCUAGAUAUACAUGUAAUAAGAUCUUAUAUAAUGAGAUGGAGGGAGUAUUGUACUACAUCAUUUUGCAAUUGUUGUUUAGCUUCUAAUAUUAACUUGGUGCUUUUAGGUACAUAUGUCAUUGCGAAAGAUCCACACUUCGACCGUCUCUGUGUAUGGGGCAAUGAGAUAUUCAUGAACCAACAUCAAGUCAGGAAACUGAUAAAGGUUGUUAUUAAAAUGGGUCAAAAGGUGUCAAUCGAACUAUUCGCUUACACUUUAUGCAAGACAACAGUGAACUACAGGAUGGUAAUUAAGAACUCUGUAGCCUUCUUUUUACUGCCCGUAAUGAGUUGUGAUAGAUGAAAAUGUCUGAAUCUUUUUCCUUUUUAGUGGAUCCUGAAGCAGUUUACUCAAGAUUACCUCUCAAACUACAUGAUUGGCGGCCGACCAUCACAAGGGGCUGGACUAGAGUCGUGCGUGCCUUCUGCAGGAGAGAACAAUAGGGCCAUUCCACUUCACCUUGUUCAGCAACCAGAAUGUCUCUCGCCUCUUUCUUUACCAUAUGUAAUGCAAGUAUACAACCCUGGUUCAUCAUUCUUUAUUUGGUGCUUAUGUAAUUCUUGAACAUAUGUACUUGUGAAUCGAAUAAUGCAUUGGUUGUUUGAACCUAAUGGAUAUGAAU
rnacentral:lncRNA from 1 species